rnacentral:rRNA from 1 species
AUGGCUCAGGAGAACGCUGGCGGCGUGCUUACACAUGCAAGUCGAACGGGAGUAUUGAAGAAGCUUGCUUUAGAGAUACGUUAGUGGCGGACGGGUGAGUAACGCGUGAGGAGCUGUCCUAUGCAGGGGGACAACAGCUGGAAACGGCUGCUAAUACCCCAUAAGCCGAGAGGUAAAAGGAUCAAUCCGGCAGAGGAGGUACUCGCGUCCUAUCAGCUAGUAGGUGAGGUAACGGCUCACCUAGGCGAAGACGGUAGCCGGCCUGAGAGGGCGAACGGCCACACUGGAACUGAGAUACGGUCCAGACUCCUACGGGAGGCAGCAGUGGGGAAUAUUGGGCAAUGGGGAAACCCUGAACCCCAGCGACGCCGCGUGGGUGAAGAAAUCCUUCGGGAUGUAAAGCCCUGUUGUAUGGGAAGAGCGGAAGACGGUACCAUACGAGGAAGCCCCGGCAAACUACGUGCCAGCAGCUGC